CACGUAGGGGGCGAGCGUUGUCCGGAAUUACUGGGUGUAAAGGGUGCGUAGGCGGCCUUGCAAGUCAGAUGUGAAAGGCUACGGCUCAACCGUAGUAAGCUUUUGGAACUGUAAGACUUGAGUGCAGGAGAGGAGAGUGGAAUUCCUAGUGUAGCGGUGAAAUGCGUAGAUAUUAGGAGGAACACCAGUAGCGAAGGCGGCUCUCUGGACUGUAACUGACGCUGAGGCACGAAAGCGUGGGGAGCAAACAGGAUUAGAUACCCCGGUAGU
rnacentral:rRNA from 1 species